UACGUAGGGGACGAGCGUUGUCCGGAAUUACUGGGCGUAAAGGGCGCGCAGGCUGUAGAUCAAGUCAGCUGUGAAAUGUCUGGGCUUGACCCGGGCAUGCGGUUGAAACUGAUGUACUGGAGUGCUGUAGAGGCAAGUGGAAUUCCCAGUGUAGCGGUGAAAUGCGUAGAUAUUGGGAAGAACACCGGUGGCGAAGGCGACUUGCUGGGCAGCAACUGACGCUGAGGCGCGAAAGCCAGGGGAGCAAACGGGAUUAGA
rnacentral:rRNA from 1 species